UACGGGGAACCUGAAAACCGCAUAAUAGAGUAGGGA
rnacentral:ncRNA from 1 species